rnacentral:rRNA from 1 species
AUUGAACGCUGGCGGCAUGCCUUACACAUGCAAGUCGAACGGCAGCGCGGACUUCGGUCUGGCGGCGAGUGGCGAACGGGUGAGUAAUACAUCGGAACGUACCCUGUUGUGGGGGAUAACUAGUCGAAAGAUUAGCUAAUACCGCAUACGACCUGAGGGUGAAAGCGGGGGACCGGAAAGGCCUCGCGCAGCAGGAGCGGCCGAUGUCUGAUUAGCUAGUUGGUGGGGUAAGAGCCCACCAAGGCGACGAUCAGUAGCUGGUCUGAGAGGACGAUCAGCCACACUGGGACUGAGACACGGCCCAGACUCCUACGGGAGGCAGCAGUGGGGGAAUUUUUGGACAAUGGGGGGCAACCCUGAUCCAGCAAUGCCGCGUGUGUGAAGAAGGCCUCGGGUUGUAAAGCACUUUGUUCCGGAAGAAACG